CUUCUCCUCCCUCGCCGCCGCCGCCGCCGCCGCCGCCUCAGCCUUCGCCUCAGCCACCGCCGCCGCCCGCUCCCGCCCGCGCGCGGCGGGAUGGACGAUCAAUCCAGGAUGCUGCAGACUCUGGCCGGGGUGAACCUGGCCGGCCACUCGGUGCAGGGGGGCAUGGCCCUGCCGCCUCCCCCGCACGGCCACGAAGGGGCGGCAGGAAGCAGGACAUCGGCGACAUCCUCCACCAGAUCAUGACCAGAGCUUGGACGAGGCGCAAGCAAAGAAACAUGCCCUGAACUGUCAUAGAAUGAAACCCGCUCUCUUCAGCGUCCUGUGUGAGAUCAAAGAGAAAACAGGUGCAGUUGUACAUGCCUAUAAUCCCAGCUACUCCGGAGCCUGAGGCAGAAGGAUCACAAGUUCAAGUAUUUGGCGGACACAACAUCUUUGUCUGUAUGUGGUGCUGAGAAUCGAACCUGGGCCGCUCGCAUGCCAGGCGCGCGCGCCACCGCUUGAGCCACAUUCCCAGUCCCCGUUGAAAUCUUAAAGAGUAGAAUUUGACGAGACAUUUUGCUGAUGUAAAAUAUUUUGUUCAUUUUGACUCUCAAGUUUAUCUGUCAUAAUGAUUGAUUUGUAUUCAUUUUACACUGUAUAGUUUUGUAGCUGAGUUUUCUAUCUAUAAGGUAUAGAAAUCCCUGUUUAAGUUAAUAAUAAAUAAUUAUCUUCAAAGGUGA